rnacentral:lncRNA from 1 species
GUAUGAAAUUGCUAUGGUCUUCCAAGCUUUCUUUCUUGGUCACUGGACAUUGAGAACUGAUCUGCUCAAGCACACUUAGAUCAACUCUGAUUAAGAGUUUACUGAACUUGCAUGAUAAUGUUCAUUUCAGUAUGCCUAUUAUAGAUCUUCUGAGCUGAAGCUAGGUUUCAAGUAUUGGUGAAAGCCAUUUGAUGAAAUGAAGCUAGGUUUCGUGCAAGUGAGCCAAUUUGAUUGGUCAGAAGGUAGAAUAGCCCCAAGUAGCGGUACCAAAUGGAUCCCUUAUGACAGAAUGGAUUCUCUCCAUUUUUGCAUGUGUGACAUGAAUCUUUGAUAUAGCUUGCUCGGAAUCGAUUGCUGCUGCUGCAGCAGCAACCACUCCUACCUCUUCAUACCCUGAAGAGACCUAGCAGCGGCUGGUGUAGUAGCGCAGCUGUGCAGAGGCAGAAGGGAUGAGACUUGGAAUAAGAAAUUAUUCUGCUAAAUACGCUGCAAAUG